rnacentral:tRNA from 1 species
CGGGACGUGGCGCAGCCCGGUAGCGCACCUGAAUGGGGUUCAGGGGGUCGCGGGUUCGAAUCCCGCCGUCCCGA